UACGUAGGGCGCGAGCGUGUCCGGAAUUAUUGGGCGUAAAGAGCUCGUAGGCGGCCUGUUGCGUCCGCUGUGAAAUCCCGGGGCUCAACCCCCGGAAAUGCGAUGGAGACUGCCGAUCUUUGAGUACGGGAGAGGGGAGCGGAAUUCCUGGUGUAGGAGGUGAAAUUCGUAGAUAUCAGGAGGAACACCGGUGGCGAAAAGCGGCUCCCUGGCCCGAUACUGACGCUCAUGUACGAAAGCGGUGGGGAGCAAACAGG
rnacentral:rRNA from 1 species